rnacentral:rRNA from 1 species
CACGCCGUAAACGAUGGAUACUAGCUGUUGGGCGCAAGUUCAGUGGCUAAGCGAAAGUGAUAAGUAUCCCACCUGGGGAGUACGUUCGCAAGAAUGAAACUCAAAGGAAUUGACGGGGGCCCGCACAAGCGGUGGAGCAUGUGGUUUAAUUCGAUGAUACGCGAGGAACCUUACCAGGGCUUAAAUGUAGAUUGCAUGAUGUGGAAACACGUCUUUCUUCGGACUAUCUACAAGGUGC